rnacentral:rRNA from 1 species
UACGAAGGGGGCUAGCGUUGCUCGGAAUUACUGGGCGUAAAGCGCACGUAGGCGGCUUUCUAAGUCGGGGGUGAAAUCCUGGAGCUCAACUCCAGAACUGCCUUCGAUACUGGAGAGCUUGAGUCCGGGAGAGGUGAGUGGAACUGCGAGUGUAGAGGUGAAAUUCGUAGAUAUUCGCAAGAACACCAGUGGCGAAGGCGGCUCACUGACCCGGUACUGACGCUGAGGUGCGAAAGCGUGGGGAGCAAACAGG